rnacentral:rRNA from 1 species
CUUGGUCAUUUAGAGGAAGUAAAAGUCGUAACAAGGUCUCCGUUGGUGAACCAGCGGAGGGAUCAUUACAAGAAGCCGAAAGGCUACUUAAAACCAUCGCGAACUUAUCCAAGUUGCUUCGGCGGCGCGGCUCCCCUCACGGAGGACCGCAGCCCCCGCCUCUCACGAGGCAAGGGGCAGCCGCCGGAGGUACGAAACUCUGUAUUAUAGUGGUAUCUCUGAGUAUAAAACAAAUAAGUUAAAACUUUCAACAACGGAUCUCUUGGUUCUGGCAUCGAUGAAGAACGCAGCGAAAUGCGAUAAGUAAUGUGAAUUGCAGAAUUCAGUGAAUCAUCGAAUCUUUGAACGCACAUUGCGCCCGCUAGUACUCUAGCGGGCAUGCCUGUUCGAGCGUCAUUUCAACCCUCAAGCUCUGCUUGGUGUUGGGGCUCUACGUCUGACGUAGGCCCUGAAAGGAAGUGGCGGGCUCGCUACAACUCCGAGCGUAGUAAUUCAUUAUCUCGCUAGGGAAGUGUGGCGUUCUCCAGCCGUUAAAGACCCCAUCUUUAACCAAGGUUGACCUCGGAUCAGGUAGGAAUACCCGCUGAACUUAAGCAUAUCAAUAAGCGGAGGA